rnacentral:rRNA from 1 species
GAUGAACGCUGGCGGCGUGCCUAAUACAUGCAAGUCGAGCGAACAGACGAGGAGCUUGCUCCUCUGACGUUAGCGGCGGACGGGUGAGUAACACGUGGAUAACCUACCUAUAAGACUGGGAUAAUUUCGGGAAACCGGAGCUAAUACCGGAUAAUAUAUUGAACCGCAUGGUUCAAAAGUGAAAGACGGUUUUGCUGUCACUUAUAGAUGGAUCCGCGCCGCAUUAGCUAGUUGGUAAGGUAACGGCUUACCAAGGCAACGAUGCAUAGCCGACCUGAGAGGGUGAUCGGCCACACUGGAACUGAGACACGGUCCAGACUCCUACGGGAGGCAGCAGUAGGGAAUCUUCCGCAAUGGGCGAAAGCCUGACGGAGCAACGCCGCGUGAGUGAUGAAGGUCUUCGGAUCGUAAAACUCUGUUAUUAGGGAAGAACAUAUGUGUAAGUAACUAUGCACGUCUUGACGGUACCUAAUCAGAAAGCCACGGCUAACUACGUG